UCUAAGCGUGAAGCCCCCCUCAAGAUGAGAUUUCCCAAUUAGUAAGACCCCUUGAAGACGACGAGGUAGAUAGGUUGGGGGUGGAAGUGCAGUAAUGCAUGGAGCUGACCAAUACUAAUCGGUCGAGGGCUUAUCCUAA
rnacentral:rRNA from 1 species